GUCCCCUUUGUUAAAUGGAUAUAACGAGCCCCUCCUAAGGGCUAGUUGCAGGGUCGAUUCCUGCAGGGGACACCA
rnacentral:tRNA from 1 species